rnacentral:rRNA from 1 species
AUUUUGGACUAUGGGCGAAAGCCUGAUCCAGCAAUUCCACGUGCUGGAUGAAGGCCCUCGGGUUGUAAACUGCUUUUGUUCGGAACGAAAAGCCUUGGGUUAAUACUCUGGACUCAUUACUGUACCGUAAGAAUAAGCACCGGCUAACUUCGUUCCAGCAGCUGCGGUAAUAUGUAGGGUGCAAGCGUUAAUCGGAAUUACUGGGCGUAAACCGUGCGCAGGCGGUUUUGUAAGACAGAGGUGAAAACCCCGGGCUCAACCUGGGAACUGGCUUUGUGACUGCAAGGCUAGAGUACGGCAGAGGGGGGUGGAAUUCCGCGUGUAGCAGUGAAAUGCGUAGAUAUGCGGAGGAACACCGAUGGCGAAGGCAACCCCCUGGGCCUGUACUGACGCUCAUGCACGAAAGCGUGGGGAGCAAACAG